UAACAAAUGACAAAAAUACCCUA
rnacentral:siRNA from 1 species